rnacentral:lncRNA from 1 species
AGAGGACUGUCCCAAGUGAAGAGUGGGAGGCAAGUGCCUUGUGACCGGGAGGAGGUCGACCUUAAAGGAGCUGGUAUUGUAGCUCUUCUAAAGCCUAGUCUACUUAGGAAGGCAAAAGCGAAGCAGCAAGAAGUGGCCACAGAAGCCGUGUGGUCCCUAGAAGUAGAAGGGUAAGGAGGAUGCAGGAGAUGGUCCUACUUGUGGCCGCAACGGGGCUCAGAAGUCCGCUUGUUAGAGAUGGCAGUGACCUGUGACAAUCCAGUCUGCCCGACACGCCUCCCGCCUCCUUAGGAACGGGAAGGAGCCCCGGCCCAGUGCACUGACGUAGUUAGCCUAAGAUCACGUAGCUGGUUGGUCACAGAAUCAUGACUUUAAUUCAUGUCUUCUGACUCUGACCUGGCACGCUUUGUACCUCACCAAAGACAGUGAUGAAAUUGCAAAAGGGCAGAGUGGAGAAGACUGGAAUGUUCAGCCAAGGCAUUUGAACUUUUAAUGCUGCAAGUCAAGACUUCCUGAAGAUUUUUGAGCAGAUGAGUGAAGUGAUAAGAAAAUGCAUCUUCAGCAGUGACAGCAUCAACGAGGAGGAGACUGGCCGGGAGGCUAUUACCCGCAUCAAAACCAGUGAACAUUAAAAAAAAUUUUUUUUUUAGAGAGAGGGUCUUGCUCUUUUGCCCAGGCUGGAGUGCAGUGGCUUGACCAUAGUUCUCUAUAACCUUGAAUUCCUGCGUUCAAGCGAUCUUCCUUCCUCAGCUUCCGGAGUAGCUGGGACUACAGAUGCGUGCCACCAUGCCAGGCCAAUUUUUAAUUUUGUUUUGUAAAGAUGGGGUUUCUGUGUUGCCCAGGUUGGUCUCAAAUUCCUGGCCUCAAGCCAUCCUCCCGCCUCAGCCUCCCAAAGUGCUGCAAUUUACGGGCAUUAGCCACCGCACCUGGUCCAAAACCGGUGAAGAUUUGUUAAGGUGUUGGCAAUAUGGGUAUACCUAGAUUAUCCUUCAUCUGCUAAAAACAUGCUCUAAUCUCUCCCCAGCCCAAAACAAACAAGAAACCUCUCUUCCCCUUCCAGCUCCUACCACGUGUCUUUGCUCCUCUGUAUGGCAAAACUCAAGUGUUCAAAAUUCCUUAUCUUCAAUUCCUCUUCUCCCAUUCCCAAGUACACUACAGUCAGGCAUUCACACCACCAAAACUGCUCUCGCUGAGGCCACCAGUGCUGUAUUCAAAGGAUAAUCUUUGUUUUAUCAGCUGUAUUUGAUCCAGCAACUCAAGUUUUUCCUGUCUAGAACACCUUUCACCGGUCUUCUUGCUUCUCCAUAGUGCUGGUCGUAACCCUCAAAAGGUCCCCCAGUUCACUCAGGAUAAAAGUCAAGUCCUUAAAAUAGACUACAGGGUGCUACAGCAUCUGGUUCCUAUGGCUUUUCUGAUCUCAUUUCAUACUGUCUUUGCUCACUCCACUGGGCCAAUCAAGACCCACCUGGGGGGUUUUCCUUUGUUGUUUUGCCUGCCUAGGAAACUUCCCAGGUAUAUGAGUUUGCUAGAGUUGCCCUAACAAAUACCACAGACCAGGUGGCCUGAACAAAACUAGUUUAUUUUCUCGAAGUUCUGGAGGCUAGAAGUCCAAGAUCAAGGUGGGAUUCUGAGGCCUCUCUCCUUGGCUUGCCGAUGACAGCCCUCUUACUUCCUCUUCCCUCUGAUGUCUCUUCCUAUUCUUCUAACACCAGUCAGAUUGGAGUGUGGGGCUACCUUUAACAGCCUCAUUUUAACUUAAUCACUGCUUUAAAGAUCUUAUCUCCAAAUACAGUAUAGUUAUAUUCUGAAGCACUAAAGGUUGGGACUUCAACAUGUAAAUUUUGGAGGGACACAAUUUAGCACAUAAUACCCAGGUACCCACAAGAUAUGUUCCCUCACUUUAUUUGAGGCUUUGCUAAUCCCAGUGAAGUCCCUCCUCACUACCUUAUUUAAAAUUAAAACCUCCACCACCUUCCUUCCUUUAUUUCUCUCCUGCUUUAUUUCUGCUUAGCCGAUACAUACAUUACAAAUAUGUAAAUACUGUAAUUUACAUAUUUGUUUUGUUUAUUGUCUGCUGUGUUUCCUUCCACUUGCAUGUAAAUUCUGUGAAGAUUUGCUCAUUGAUGUAUUCGAAGACAUAAAACAGUGCAAAGUGUUUAGCAAG